rnacentral:rRNA from 1 species
AGCGAACGCUGGCGGCAGGCCUAACACAUGCAAGUCGAACGAACCUUUCGGGGUUAGUGGCGGACGGGUGAGUAACACGUGGGAACGUGCCUUUAGGUUCGGAAUAACUCAGGGAAACUUGUGCUAAUACCGAAUGUGCCCUUCGGGGGAAAGAUUAAUCGCCUUUAGAGCGGCCCGCGUCUGAUUAGCUAGUUGGUUGAGGUAAUGGCUCACCAAGGCGACGAUCAGUAGCUGGUCUGAGAGGAUGAUCAGCCACAUUGGGACUGAGACACGGCCCAAACUCCUACGGGAAGCAGCAGUGGGGAAUCUUGCGCAAUGGGCGAUAGCCUGACGCAGCCAUGCCGCGUGAAUGAUGAAGGUCUUAGGAUUGUAAAAUUCUUUCACCGGGGACGAUAAUGACGGUACCCGGAGAAGAAGCCCCGGCUAACUUCGUG